UACGGGGGGAGCAAGCGUUGUUCGGAUUUACUGGGCGUAAAGGGCGCGUAGGCGGCCACCGCAAGUCAAUUGUGAAAUCUCCGGGCUUAACUCGGAAAGGUCAGCCGAUACUGCGGGGCUAGAGUGCAGAAGGGGCAACUGGAAUUCUCGGUGUAGCGGUGAAAUGCGUAGAUAUCGAGAGGAACACCUGCGGCGAAGGCGGGUUGCUGGGCUGACACUGACGCUGAUGCGCGAAAGCUAGGGGAGCGAACGGG
rnacentral:rRNA from 1 species